rnacentral:lncRNA from 1 species
AGAAUGUUACCCUCGGCCCGUCCGUGAGGGAUGGAGAGCACGUUUUUGGUGUAGCCCACAUCUUUGCGUCUUUCAAUGAUACAUUCGUGGUACGCUCUCAUUUUUUUCUUAUUCUGUUGGGUAUGGCGAUGAUGGAUGAUUAUCAAUAUAUGAAUUCGUUUAGGUCAUGUUAAUACAUGGGGAAUGUUAUGCAAGUAGGCUCUCUACUGUAUUUUUCUUGAUUCUCCGAGUGAUAGUCGAGUUCGUUAGAUACAUUUGUUUUACUACAUCAUUGAAUGAAUGAUUUACGGAUGUUCACUAUUGUACGUAAUGUUGUAUGCAGCAUGUGACUGAUCUCUCAGGAAAGGAGACAAUCGCUCGUGUCACUGGUGAGCGUUCUCAGUCACAUGCGCCGCCCUUUUAGGGUUGUCUUGCAUCUGCGUAAAAUAUACCUCAACAGGGGGCGUUAUGCACUACUUGUAGUUUCUCCACAGAUGCUGGGUUGUAACUGGUGCUAAGUAAUUUUCUUACGCAAGAGGAUUUGUGAACAUCACGAAUUCCACCUCAACAAUUCUGAUCAUGUUCACACACGGCUGCACAGGUGGCAUGAAGGUUAAGGCCGACAGAGAUGAGGCGUCCCCAUACGCAGCUAUGUUGGCAGCACAGGAUGUAGCCCAAAGGUGCAAGGAGUUGGGUAUCACCGCCCUGCACAUCAAGCUUCGUGCUACCGGUGGAAAUAAGACUAAGACUCCUGGACCUGGAGCCCAGUCUGCACUCCGCGCUUUGGCCCGUUCCGGGAUGAGGAUCGGACGCAUUGGUGAGUUGCGUGAAUGUGUUUCUUCUCUUUUAUUUUGGAUCGAGAUUGAUUUGGUCAUGCUGCGCUCAAAUUCUUGCUAACUCCGCUGCGUAUGUGUUUUCGCAGAGGAUGUUACGCCCAUUCCAACCGACAGCACGAGGAGGAAGGGUGGACGCAGGGGACGUCGUCUCUAGAUUAUAUGCUAUUUCCUCGAAAGGGAGGAGUAUAUGGGCACUUGUGUUCGUGUCCUCUCUUCAGAGUUAAGGAUGGUCAGCAUAUUGCUUGGAUCCUCUUUUAGAAUGUUCGAACUCAGUGAAUCUUUU